rnacentral:rRNA from 1 species
UACGGAGGGUGCUAGCGUUGUUCGGAAUUACUGGGCGUAAAGGGCGCGUAGGCGGCCGUUUGCGUCGGAUGUGAAAGCCCGGGGCUCAACCUCGGAACGGCAUUCGAUACGGGACGGCUGGAGACCGGGAGAGGAGGGUGGAAUAGCCAGUGUAGAGGUGAAAUUCGUAGAUAUUGGCUGGAACACCGGUGGCGAAAGCGGCUCUCUGGCCCGGUUCUGACGCUGAGGCGCGAAAGCGUGGGGAGCAAACAGG